ACAAUUGCACGCUUGAACAGUUAACCUCUUCAGCCUAAAUCUCAUCCUUUUUCUUUAAUAUGCUCGUACAAAAAAAUAUAACAUAAACGGUGGAGUGGGACUUCGUUCCCCAUCAGGACUUUGUUCUGCCAUUGGAGAGGACGAUAUUCAACAGCAAGGCUGCAAGCCAGCAAAAGUCCCUCCCGCGCUACCGCCAUCCAGCCAUCUGAACACCAUGCGUCGUCGCCCUCACGGCUCCACGCUUUCGUCAGCCAUCACCGGCCAUCGUCAAUUUUUUGUGGGCAGUUUAAUUAUGUAAAUUGUAGGUUUCAACAACUGCUGGUGCAAAACGUGUGAAGAAAGGCUCAUUAGUCCCAUAGAUUUCUGCAUUAAGUAGUCAGACAAAUAAGGAGUCUGAGGCCUCAUCCAAAUCAAGUGCCUUUGCCCCUGCUACUAGUCAAUCCUCCGUUCAUGCAGAUCCUAUGCAAGUGGGAGUCUCUCCUGCGUCAAGGGAGAAGGAUAUUUGUUGUUGGUGAUCUUAUGCUCAACCAGAUUGUGAGAAGAACCAGAUUUUAAAUUAAGUGAACUUACAGUUUUAUUAGUAGGAAAGCUCUAUACAUUAUAUUGUCUUUUGUAAUACUUCGAUGGUGGAUAAAUUUCAAAUUUAUGAAGCAAUAUUGUUUCAUUUGAGGUCAAUAUCUUGCUCUUUGGAUGAAUUAUGUAGGUCAUGCUUUCAAAUUAAAAAUACAUUAUAUAUGUCAUCAAACAUAUUUCAGGACAUGUAUUGAACGGUUUAUGACACGCUUUGCGUGUCAUUGCUAAUAUUCAAU
rnacentral:sRNA from 1 species